rnacentral:rRNA from 1 species
CAAUAGCGUAUAUUAAAGUUGUUGCAGUUAAAGAGCUCGUAGUUGGAUUUCUGCUGAGGACGAUCGGUCCGCCCACUGGGUGAGUAUCUGGCUCGGCCUUGGCAUCUUCUUGGAGAACGUUGCUGCACUUGACUGUGUGGCGCGGUAUCCAGGACUUUUACUUUGAGGAAAUUAGAGUGUUUCAAGCAGGCGCACGCCUUGAAUACAUUAGCAUGGAAUAAUGAGAUAGGACCUUGGUUCUAUUUUGUUGGUUUCUAGAGCUGAGGUAAUGAUUAAUAGGGAUAGUUGGGGGCAUUCGUAUUUAACUGUCAGAGGUGAAAUUCUUGGAUUUGUUAAAGAUGGACUACUGCGAAAGCAUUUGCCAAGGAUGUUUUCAUUGA